rnacentral:rRNA from 1 species
GAUAUGGCUCAGGAUGAACGCUAGCGGCAGGCUUAACACAUGCAAGUCGAGGGGCAGCGCGGGGCGGCAACGUCCUGGCGGCGACCGGCGGAAGGGUGCGUAACGCGUGAGCGACAUGCCCGUUGCCCGGGGACAACCGGUGGAAACGCCGACUAAUCCCCGAUGGGACGGAGGCCCUCAUGGGUCUCUGUUGAAAGUUACGGCGGCGACGGAUUGGCUCGCGUCCGAUUAGCUUGUUGGCGGGGUAACGGCCCACAAGG